CUUGAGAGGGCCCAGCACAGAGAGUUGUGUACUGUAGCCAAGUUGAUUCAAGUUAAUGUAACAAGUAGAACAAGAUCUUUCAGUUGCUGGGACAAAAUACACAACUUGAAGGAAGAAAGGUGUGUCUUGGCUCCCAGUGUCAGUCCAAGACAGGCUCCAGUGCCAGGUGAAAGGGCUUGGUGUGAGGGAGCUGCUUGUCUCACGGCAGCUAGGAAGUAAAGUAAGAGGGAAAUAGCUGAAGAAAAGUUCUACCCUUCCAAGUCACACUUUAGUGAGCUACUUCUCGAAAUAGGCCCCGCCUCCUGAUAGACCAUUCAGCUAUGAACUUAUCAAUGGGUUAAUCCAUUGAUCGGGUUAGCACUGACAAUCCAGUUCUUCCUGGAGGUUUCUUUUCAAAGUGAGAAUCCGGAUCAUUCUUUGCUCAAAACUUCUCACCCUGUUACCCUUUGGCUGAUGAAGUAGAACCCAGAUGAUGAGCCAGGU